GGCGGCCGGCGGCGCUCAAAGGUGGCCGGGGUCGGGUGCGGUGGUCGCCGGACGGUCGGCGGAGACCUCCGCGGCCGUCGGGAAGCGGCGGCAGGGCUCACACACCCGAGCCACCCAGCUUCGGCCUGGGUGGUGUCCCUGGGGCCGCAGGCGGCUACGGCGGCUCCGGCGGCGCACGGCGACGGUGGGGGUCGGCGGUGACGGUGCCGGCGGGGGUGCCUGGGUCGGGGCUCACCUCACUCGAGGCCUGGCCGGCUCAGGGUGGUGCUGGGUACAUCCUCGGC
rnacentral:lncRNA from 1 species